AACGCACAUUGCGCCCAUUAGUAUUCUAGUGGGCAUGCCUGUUCGAGCGUCAUUUCAACCCUUAAGCCUAGCUUAGUGUUGGGAGUCUACAAAUGGUAACUUGUUACCUGUAGUUCCUAAAAUGAAACGGCGGAUCUGCAGUAUCCUCUGAGCGUAGUAAAUCUUUUUCUCGCUUUUGUCAGGUGCUGUGGCUCUUGCCGCUAAACCCCCAAUUUUUAAUGGUUGACCUCGGAUCAGGUAGGAAUACCCGCUGAACUUAA
rnacentral:misc_RNA from 1 species